ACAAUGGAGUUUUUCAACUCCACAAACAAUUUUAAAAAAUUGAAC
rfam:Theobroma cacao cultivar Matina 1-6 chromosome 1, whole genome shotgun sequence.